UGGAGAGGGCGCCUGAUGAAAUGGCCACCAACGAACCCGGAAGGCCUGAAAAUGUGAAGAUAACAGGUCCGUUAUGCCCAACAGGUCCGUGAUGCCCAACAGGUCAGUGAUGCCCAACAGGUGGAGAGGGGGCCUGAUGGCCAACAUCGUGAUGGCGUGGAACAGGUCCGUUAUGCCCAACUGGUGGAGAGGGGGCCUGAGAAACGGCUACCACUUCUACGGAAGGCAGCAGGCGCGUAAAUUACCCAAUCCUAACUCAGGGAGGUAGUGACAAGAAAUAAUAGACCGGAUUUAUCCGGGUUUGCAAUGAGCCUAAUUUACACAACUUAGUGAGGAUCCAUUGGAGGGCAAGUCUGGUGCCAGCAGCCGCGGUAAUUCCAGCUCCAAUAGCGUAUAUUAAAGUUGUUGCAGUUAAAAAGCUCGUAGUUGGACAUGAGGUGGGGGGGCGCGGUCGGCCGGAAGGCUGGACUGUGAGCCGUUGCCUGUUGGUGGGGGGGUUUUGUUUGUGAAAGCAGGCAAGGCACGCCCACGGGUUACUGUGAAGAAAUUAGAGUGUUCAAGGCAGGCAAGAGCUUGAAUAGGUCAGCAUGGAAUAACAAGAUGGGACAUUGCCAGCUUGUUGGUUAGGGGGCAGAAGUGAAGAUUGAUAGGGCCAGUUGGGGGCAUUAGUAUUUAGUAGUCAGAGGUGAAACUCUUGGAUUUACUAAAGACUGACUAGAGCGAAAGCAUUUGCCAAGGAUGUUUUCAUUAAUCAAGAACGAAAGUUAGGGGAUCGAAGACGAUCAGAUACCGUCGUAGUCUUGACUAUAAACGAUGCCGACUAGGGGUUAGCGGGAGUCGAAUGGGACGCCGCUAGGACCAGUAGAGAAAUCAAAGUGUUUGGGUUCUGGGGGGAGUAUGGUCGCAAGGCUGAAACUUAAAGGAAUUGACGGAAGGGCACCACCAGGAGUGGAGCCUGCGGCUUAAUUUGACUCAACACGGGAAAACUCACCAGGUCCGGACAUGGGAAGGAUUGACAGAUUGAGAGCACUUUCGAGAUUCUGUGGGUGGUGGUGCAUGGCCGUUCUUAGUUGGUGGAGUGAUUUGUCUGGUUAAUUCCGAUAACGAACGAGACCUUGGCUGCGUGGUGUGUGUGUGGUGUGGUUGACACUGCAUGCGUCAUGGCAGGACUGGCCACGGUUAGUGGCCGGAAGUUCGAGGCAAUAACAGGUCCGUGAUGCCCA
rnacentral:rRNA from 1 species